UACGUAGGGGCCGAGCGUUGUCCGGAGUUACUGGGCGUAAAGCGUGCGCAGGCGGCGCGUUCUGCCCGGCGUGAAAGCCCCCGGCUCAACCGGGGAACGUCGUCGGGGACGGGCGCGCUUGAGGGCGGCAGGGGCUGGUGGAAUUCCCGGUGUAGUGGUGAAAUGCGUAGAGAUCGGGAGGAACACCUGUGGCGAAGGCGGCCAGCUGGGCCGACCCUGACGCUGAGGCACGAAGGCGUGGGGAGCGAACGGGAUUAGAAACCCCCGUAGUCC
rnacentral:rRNA from 1 species